rnacentral:rRNA from 1 species
AUGGCGGCGAGAGUAGAUCCGACGAUCGAGGUGAAGGUUUUCGUGGACAAGGAGAGGAGCAGGGUGAUCUUCGCGGAGUCCGGCAAGGAGUUCGUCGAUGUGCUCUUCGGCUUCCUCACGCUGCCUCUCGGCACCGUCGUUCGCCUCCUCGGCAAGCAGUCGCAGGUCGGACGCCUCGACGAGCUGUACAAGAGCGUGAAGGGACUCUCCGCCGAUUUCUUCAGAACUGGAGCCUGCAAGGCGAUGCUGCUCAAGCCCAUCAACGCUGCCGCGCAGCAAUGCUGUCAACUCAGUGUCAGAGUCGACGGCACCAAGCGCGACGGGGAGAGGCCGGAGAGCUCUGCUGCAGCUGCUGCUGGUUCCGAUGCCGGGGUUUUUGUCAAGGGAGACGUGAAGUUCAUCGUCACCGAUGAUUUCCAUGUGGCACCGGCAUCGACGUCUCUCAUGCUGUCCCUUUUCGACAAGUUCGAUGUGCAGGAUCCCUCCAGUCUUGAGCAGAGGACUCUCCACCUUUCUUUUUUUGCAAACAAUGAAAGUGUAAAUAGGGGUGUCAGUGGUAUUUUUUGUAGCAAGUCUUGCAGCAACAGCCCCCGACAGCGCCUCCAGCACCCCCGGGCGAAAGAGGAGUUGAUCACCCCACUGCAGAGCCUCCCUACCCUCCUGGCCGACCGGGUUAGGCUGGGACGCUACAGGAAAACGACCCUCCUGGUCAACCUGCAGCGCCCCCUUGGUGUGCACCCUUCUGGCCGCCAAUCCUUGGCCCUCCUGGCCAAGGCUAGCGCGCUCGAGUGGCCCGUGAUCCAGAUGAUUAGCCUGCUUAAGAGAUCAUUAACGUCCAACAACGCUUUAACUGCUCACUACUUCGAUACUGCUAUCGCGUCCGAUGAUUCCGCCAUUGAUAUUCUCACCGAGAACAUGUAUCCUGAACAAGGAAAUGAUGCCGAUCCCAACCUGAACGAUGUCAAGAUAAAGGUUCUUCAGACGAAGAACAACUCAUCGGUGCUGUAUGCAGAAGUUGGUGCCAAUUUUGUGGACCUUCUCUUUGGCCUACUUUGCAUACCACUUGGAUCCAUCAUGAAGACAUAUGGCAAGUGCGCUUCAAAAGGAUGUGUUGACAAUCUGUACGGCAACAUAUAUAGAUGGCAGUGCUCAAGAAUGCAUGAGAUCAGAAAGCCGGAUCUCGCUAAUGUCCCCAAAGUUGGCACCCUUCUUUGGUUGCAGCACUAAACCACAGACCAUCUUGGACGCGAUCCAAAAUCACCAAAUGGAGAACGUGACAGUGGAGAAGGGUAUGUGAAGCGGGAGCCUCGGAAAUUUAUGGUGACCGAUGAUCUGCAAGUUCUUCCUCUGUCCUUGGCAAGCACUCUGCAGGUUGUCAGUGUAGCCAAGACUCAGAGAAAGGACCUCGUGGAGAAAGAAAUCGCUCUCACAAAACCCCAGCAGACAUUAAGUAAACUUCCGAUAAGCCUAAUCGAUGAACCAGCUGUAGACCACGCUGAAGAGCUAGAGCUUCCGCCGAGGUUGUAUCAGAAGUUUGUACAGGAGUGGGAAACUGCAGGACCAAUUCAAUUCUGCACACGAAGUCCAGGCGAUCCAUCUGCCGCUUCAGGUUUCCGCAACCUCCUGCCGCUUGGGCCGCACAACAUAUCCCCAAGACGGCAUUUUUUCGUGGACGGGGAGAAUAGCAGGGUGGUCUUCGCGGAGUCCGGCAGGGAGUUCGUCGACGUGCUCUUCGGCUUCCUCACGCUGCCUCUCGGCACCGUCGUUCGCCUCCUCGGCAAGCAGUCCCAGGCCAGUCCCAUCAACGCUGCGGCGAAGCAGUGCUGUCAACUCAAGGUCAGAGUUGACGACACCAAGCACGGGGAGGUCUAUGUUUGCGCUGACACGAGCUGCUGCGCGUAUGGUGAAGGCGCCUUCAGCUCCGUCCGCGGCGCUGUCUGCAAAUGCGGCAAGGCCAUGUUCCAGCUCGCCGGCCAGAGGCCGGAGAAUGAUGGUAGCACCAGCGCUGCCAGUGGUGGUGAUUCUGAUGUCGGUGUUUUCGUCAAAGAGGACGUGAAGUUCAUCGUCACCGAUGAUUUCCAUGUGGCUCCAGCCUCAACGUCUCUCAUGUUAUCCAUUUUGGACAAGUUUGAAGUUCAGGAUCUCUCCAGUCUUGAGCAGAGGACUCUCCAACUUAGUUCAGACAAGAUGAUUAGCCUGCUCAAGAGAUCAUUAACGUCGAAGAACCCUUUCACUGGUCACUAUUUUGAUCUUGCCAUGGCGCCUGACGAUUCAGUCGCAGAUAUUCUCCCCGGUAACCUGCAUCCUCAACAAGAAAACGAUGCUGAGCACACGCUAAACAAUGUUAAGAUUAAAGUUCUUCAGAUUAGGGACAAUUCAUCUGUGUUGUAUGCUGAAGCUGGUGCCGAUUUUGUGGAUCUUCUCUUGGGAUUGCUGAGCAUACCACUGGGAUCCAUAGUGAAAAGGUAUGGGAAAUGCACAUCAAAAGGAUGUGUUGACAAUCUUUACAGUAGCAUAGAUGGAUGUGCUGAAGGAUUCUUGAGGCCAGGAUGCCAGAUCACGCUACUGUACCCAAAUCUGCCACCCUUCUUCGGUUGCGGCACUAGUAAGAUGCUUCAGGUUGAAGAACUAUCUCCAUAUAAGCAAGAUAUCGAUGGCUGCAUCAAGUGCUUCAAGAUCGGCGGUUUCAGGGAUCUUGCCCGUUGUCACGAACAGGGUUAUGUUUCCGGUUACGGACUGGUAUAUAAAAAUUGCAGCGCUGAUGUAAAGAAAGCAAGCCUUUUUGAGUGUGACCCAAAACUACCAAAGGGAGAAGAAAGUGGCACUGGAGAAGCAUAUGUCAAGCAGGGGCCUCAGAGUUUCAUGGUUACUGACAAUCUACAUGUUCUUCCUCUGUCCUUAGCAAGCAGUCUAGGGGUUAUUAGUGAAGCCAAGGUUCAGAGAAAGGACCUUGUGGAGAAAGAGCUCGCUCUCACAAAACCCCAGGUUAUGGGGUUACUUAAAGCUGCCUUGGUGACUCGCAAAGCUCUCAGCACUGCGCUUCUGCCUCCCAAGGAGCCUGCUCCCAAGAAUAUGAAGAAGCUGCAUCACCAGAGCUUCGGUCUAUAUUAG